AGAAGAAUGGUUUCAAAGAUCUUGAGUAUUGCUCUUCUUCUAUCCAUGUUUCUUCUACUUCUUUGCUUCUCAUGAAACUGGAGUCGCUGAGGCUACUAGCCGGAAACUAGAAGAACUUAAGAAAGGAAAAAUUGGCACCCCACCAUCUAAAUCAUGCCGAGGUAGAACGCGAGGAGGAGGAUCAUCUCGAGGGUGGAGGAAGAGACCGUGUCCACGUUUUGCAAGAACAUCCCCUAUACACCCUUGAAUAAUGGAGAAUAAGAGAUCGCUCGGUCAUAUUGCGUCACCAAAUGAAAUCUCAAACCGAAGAUUCAUAUGUUAUUUACAAAACAAAAAUUAUCCAAUGAUGUGUGAUAUGCAGGGGCAGACGUACGCUUUAGUUUGUGUGGCACGUGCCACAUGCUAAAUCCUGAAGAAAAAAAAAUUUGCAAUAGGAUUUUAGUUAUCAUAGUUCAGAAAAUAAUAACACUUAAUUAUUGUGCUA